GGGGAGGCCACUGUGGACAGAGGGGGCUUUGUUCGUGGGACUGUUCGGGGAGCUGGGCUCGGCCCUGACAAAGAGCCAUCUGUCUGGGUGAUGUGCCCCCAGCUCGCCGGAACAGGCCCCCUCCAUCCCAGGGGCUCAGCCUUUCGGCGCCCCUCACCCAGCAGGCACAGACGACCUCGUCCUGCCUCUCUCAGCCGGGACAGCUGAACCCCAGCCCGCUGCUAGGCAGGUGCGGUGCCUCCUGCUGCUGCUGCCGGGUCGGGCCCGAGGACGCUCUCACAGUCCGGGUCCCCACGGGACGUUCGCUCGUUGGCUUUGCCUGCUUGGCCGGGCUGUGCUGGACCACCACGCUGGUCUCGGCCCCCCCGACCCGGCCCUCAUCCCUCGGGGGGACACCCGGUGCUCCCUCUGCACUGGUCAGACCAGGCAGACUGGUCAGGAGGGCAUCCCUGACCCUCUCCUCACGGGCCUGGCCCCUGCAGUCUCUGGGCCGGGGUCCUUCCCUCCCACCACAGCCCCCCUGCCAGCCCCUUGUCAGAGUUCCAGCUGUGGUCCAGGGCUCACGGGGCCUCGACCGUCUGCCCGCCGUCCUCUGAGUGUGUGGAGUCCCUUUUGGACUCCCUGCAGCCGACCCCUCUGUCUGCUCUCAGCCGUCCUGACUGCCGGUGGGACCCUCCUCAUCUGGGAAGCAAGCCCACUCAAAGCUCCCUGCCUUCUGGGGACUGCCCUUGAGCCGGGACCCCCGUGGGCCCCCGGGAGCUCGACGUGUAGAAGCCAGAGGCACGCUCAGUUCUACGGGGCUGCCCGUGGUCAGACUGAUCUGUGGAUCCAAUACAAGCCCGCUCAAAACCCCGGUCCUGUCUGUGCGACUUGGCUGUGGAUGCGGGGGCACGUGGGUGGGUCUGGGCCGCAGAGGCCCAGCCUGGGCAGGGGAAGCGAGCGGGAGUGCUCUGCAGGCUCAGUGGCUGGCCGGAGGUGUCUGGAGAACUAGCGCGGCCCGUCCCGUCCUCUGGGGCCGCAGUCUGACACUCCCUGCCUCCCUGCAGGGACAGGACAGGUCCACAGGCCUGAGGCAGCCUCUGGAGCAGACGCAGGCGCAGACCUGCGGAGCUCACUACGCCAGGCGGCCUGGCCGGGCUUGUGGGGGGCAGCGGCGGACAGUGGGG
rnacentral:lncRNA from 1 species